rnacentral:sRNA from 1 species
UCUGGGCUGUAGUGCGCUAUGCUGAUCAGGUGUCCGCACUAAGUUCGGCAUCAAUAAGGUGACCUCCCGGGAGCAGGGGGACACCAAGUUGCCUAAGGAGGGGUGAACCGGCCCAGGUCAGAAAUGGAGCAGGUCAAAACUCCCGUGCUGAUCUGUAAAAUAGUUUCUAAGUCAAAAACACAUCUGU